rnacentral:miRNA from 1 species
UCUGGACGGUAUGCACAUGUGCAU